CCAGAUGUACGGAGCGCCACGGCGGAGAAAUAACAAGACGCGCAGCAUGCUAUUUCUAAAGGCCUCUUAUAGUGAUGGACGCACGCCUUUUCAUGUUCAACAAGGUGCGGCCGCACAAUCGGCAUCGAGGGGCUCGCGAAACACGCGCCAUCAGUGUCUGAGCGCUGUGGGUAUUGGGGUUGGCAUUGUGAGCAAAUUGUUGUUCUUCACGCCGGGUGUAGCAUCGGCGCCCUUGCUAAUAGCGAUGGUGAUGGUGAGCGGUGAUCUGCUUUCUGUGAUCUACUGAGUUUCCUUGCUGGUGUCUGGCGUGCUUGAAGGGGACCUCUUGAAGUCCCCAUGGCGCCCCGAACGUUGCCAACCCUAGUCCGCAAUGUUCGAGGUAGGGAACAUUCUGGAAGGUUGGGGUGUGCUGUUCACUUCUAAUGCCUUAGGGGAUAGUAAGGCAGCUGCAUUUUACCAGGGCUUAUGAGGCGCCUUAAAGGCUAUGCGGGGCAGUUUUGACUCACGCUGAAAUCUUGGGAGGGAGGGUGGGGGGGGGCAAAAGCAUGGCGCCACUCGACUUUUGGCGCUUGCUCGAGUCGGGCUGUUGACUGCCACCUUUUCACCGCUACGCAGCUGCAUGCCAUUGCUCAGAAUUCAUCACCACCUGUCAAAGAAGUCUUGGUGCUCAUUCGCACUGAUUAUCAGACAGGUCUUCGAUAGUAUGGGCUUUAUGCGUUCCAACCGUUUUUUCCCCUGCGCGGUGUACGGCAAUCGGAGCCUCCAGGCAAACUAGCGACACCAUCGAAAGCUCGCUAUGUGUUCACGGCGAAAAAGGUUUUGUUAUCAAGCGGGCGGCUAUUCAAGUGGUAGGGAGAGGGGGACAGUUUUCCAUGAGAACAGAUGGACAAGCCUAGGGGUGCCACAGCCAGCACACAUUUCAUACCCAGUCAAGCGAGCACCAUCACGACCGCAGAUUGCGCGUUUACCUUUUCGGCGGCAAUGCUAUUUACAUUUGUUUCAUCGCUUGAAACAGCCGGUGAACACCCCAACUCUGAUACCACACGGCCGCCGCCACAUCCCCAAAGUUCCAAUUGCUUUACAAAGCUGUCUCACCACAUGCGUUUGCAAAGCCUACUAAGGCUAACCAAUUUCACCUUUCCGUCCCCUGAUGGGGCCACGGUCAAUUAUUGGCCGGGCGGCGCGCAAGACUCUAACCGCAACAUGCUCACAACCCACACUGCGCAGCACCUCUUUCAGUAUCUGCACAAGGCGUGUGCAUCAGUUAGCGGAAAGUACAGUAGCACACAGCGCACCACCACGUCCGCAAAACGAUAUGAUAUGCCUUAGGCAUGCUGCGCAUCUUUUCCGCCACGUUCACUGCAAAGUAUCGAAUACCUUUUCACUAAGCAGAAGCAUCUUCGUGUCUCCCCAUCCACUGAGUACAUAAUCGUGCCUCACGGUGGUGCUGCCAUGUUCUACACGCUCAUCGCACUUUUACAAAAA
rnacentral:misc_RNA from 1 species